CCUUUUAACCUUUUUUUCUGCAGAAGGACAUAAUUUGAUGUACUGAUGUUUGAUAUGUGCAUGCCUGGAGAAACGUCUCUUGCAGAUUAUUUUACUUUGCUAAACUCUGGAGCUGCUGCAGUUACCCUUCUGUACUUCCCCACAUGUCUGAGAAUGUGCAUAAAUGAGUCUUUUUACACAGAGCGCUGUAUUGUUCUAAAAAAGGUGUUAAAGGCUUGCUUAAGGGGAAAAAAAACCACUUGGCAGUGUUUGCCCCAUUAGUGGCUUUCCAGUCGUCAGUCCUGCCGUGAGAGAAGAAAUUCAUCCUAAAGUCCCUGCAGCCCUGCUUCCACCCAGGCUUUCUAAGCUGUGCCGUGGGAGGUCUGAGCAAGCGUUUGGAUCACGGCACUUUGGGAAUUGCUGCAGUGGUUGUUUCUGGGCUGCAGGGAGGGACCACGGGAACUCAGACAGUCUGAGGGGGCUGCAAGCUGCAGUGUUUGGUUUGGUGUUUGUUCUGCUUUUCUUACUCAGUUGGCUGAGGAAGGCAAAUACACUCAGGAGUUCUGUCAGUGUGGGGGAUGGAUGUGCUUCAAAUUCUGAACAUCCCCAGAGUGGGGCUCUGGUGAAGUACCUUGCCUAAUACAGGUGAUUUCUGAACCCCGGGGGGUUUGUUGGUUUUACUCCUGGGUUUUUUAAACUGCAAUGGGAGCUUGAGUAGAUAGGAACAAGAGAAGUAAUUUACAAAGAGAAAAACUGGCUGGCAUCCCAGCAGGAAUUUUUUCCCCUUUUCUAUAUUACAUUCAUGGAAUAGUUCUUUGUCAUUUGUUUCUGUUGUCUGUUUGUUUCCGUUGCCUAUAGCAAAAAGGGAUGAUAUUCUGCAAUAGUUGCCAGGUCCCCCUUCCCCCAUGUUUUCAUCGACCUUUUCUGGGGGCUUUGGGGAGGGGAGGGCAAAAGGAGAGCUCUUCUCCUUUUUUCUUGCCUUCCUCCGAUAUCUUUUCUGUAUAAACUAUUUCUAAAAGGAGACAGGCUCCAGGAUAAAAAAUUCCCACAGCAGUGCUUUUGGUGAAACUUUGGGAUAUAAAUUGUGAUCAGUUGUAUGGAUAUGGAUGCACCCGUGGGUGAAGUGGGUUCUACUUGUUUUUUCAAAGAACAGACUACAUUGCAAUUCAAGUUGAUUUUUUUUUUUUUUUUGCUUUUUGAAGCCAGUGAAUAGUUACCUGGCAAGUUAAGAGUUAAAUAAAAGUUUAAAGUGUGGCAUAACUGUUCUCUUUGCCACUAAGGCGUCCUUGGCAAAUGCAGGUCUUUCUGAGACAGCCUUUCAGUUAUGGACUUGCAACAGUGACAUCUUGAGGCUGUCCCUCCUGUCCCUGUGAGCCUGUCCUGGCCCUCCUGUGGUGUUGCACCACAGAUCUGCAAGCUGAGACCAGGCAGAGCAGUGACACACUUCCAUCCCCAAAACUGCAGGGGCUCUUCCUGCUGUGUGCCUUCAGACCCUGGUCAAAGCUGCUGUUCAGCUGUCUGGUACCAGUGCCUGAGUGUGCUCUUUAACCAGAAAUCAGGAUGUUCACACAUUCCAACAUGUCCUUUUUGGUUGUCUACGGAAAGCUUCAAUGUCGUCCCUUCUUCUUCCCAUUGGAGAUGGGUUUCUGUUCCACUUUGCAUUUUGUCUGCUACAUCAUUUGCUACCCAAAAUUAAUUUAACAGUGAGGAAGAAAAAUGUAGUGAUUUACCAGAAUUUCUGUAGUUUGUAGCAGGGUUUUGAAUGUGAUCAGUUUGAAGUACCACAGGUUCUUCUGUCCAGCUCAUGCUGUGCUGGUUGGUGUUUUCACCUCGUCAAGAGGUGUGUGUGGAGCUCAGGACCCCUGGAAAGCCUGCUCUUGGGUUUGCAUGGAAUUGUAUGACACCUUUGAUUGUCUUCCACUCCCCCUUUUCUAUGUAAUGCACCGUUCUUGGUGGGAUGGUGUCUCCUGGAAUCUUUACAGACUGUUUUAACACUGUUACUUUGCUCACAAUGUUUCUUCUGAGGGCUACAAGAAGGGCUUCCUGUA